CAAGAUGGCGGACCUACUGGGCUCCAUCCUGAGCUCCAUGGAGAAGCCACCCAGCCUCGGUGACCAGGAGACUCGGCGCAAGGCCCGAGAUGCAGAGAAGACUCGAAAACCAGUUAAAGAACAGUCAGUGGGGCCCGGCCUUGUAGCUCACACCUUUAAUACCACCACUUUGGGAGGCCGCGGCGGACGGAUCGCUUGAGCCCAGGAGUUCAAGACCAGUCUGGGCAACAUGGAGAAACCCCAUCUCUACAAAAAAUACAAAAAUUGGCCGGGCUCACGCCUGUAAUCCCAAAACUUUGGGAGGCCAAGGCGGGCAGAUCACGAGAUCAAGAGAUCGAGACCAUCCUGGCCAACAUGGUGAAACCCCGUCUCUACUAAAAAUACGAAAAUUAGCUGGGCGUGGUGGCGCGUGCCUGUAGUCCCAGCUACUCAGGAGGCUGAGGCAGGAGAAUGGGUUGAACCCGGGAGGCGGAGGUUGCAGUGAGCCGAGAUCGCGCCACUGUACUCCAGCCUGGCGACAGAGCGAGACUCCGUCUCAUAAAUAAAUAAAUAAAU
rnacentral:sRNA from 1 species